GAAAUGAAAGCACUUUUUGAAACAGAUCAUAAAACUUUAAACUUUGGGAAGCUAGAUAAUCACGAUUGCCAUGCCACUGGCAAUCUGAUCGUGGGAUAGUGGUGACGCGAUGGAGCAGAUUGGAUACUGCUCUCCUAUUCCUCGUAACAAAGUUAUGCCGAACCCGUAGGGAGGAUGCAGUCGUCAUUGCCUCCUGGUUUCUGUGCAACGAAAUUACCGCUGCACUUCCUGGAGAGUCCACACUCAGGGAAAAGCCAUGGAUAUUGUGAUGUUCCGCACAGACCAGCUGCUGGUCCGGAGCUACGGUCCCCCAAAGCUGACAAGUGGGUAUCCCCACAGUUCGACAACACCGCCACACCUCGCAGGAAGCGCAAGGAGGCGACCAAAAGCCGUCUUCGCAGACACGAUCAUAAAUCGGCCAAGAAGUCUCAAAAACCGGCAGCGGUUUCGACAGUGUCUUCGUUACGUCGCAGCCAGCGACAGCAAACAGUGUCCCGUAAGCCCGCUUUAACCCUAGUCAGCACCAAGCUAGGCGCUAGAUCACAUCGUUGUGCCAGAGACUUGCAAGUAGCCUCUCAGUUCACUGAGUGUGUGCCGUCAGCAGUUGAAGAUCAUGUACUCUCACCACUGUCUGAGCGUAGCGCUAACUGCACAUCAGACCACACUGGUAAUCUCCCGCUACACAAAAGAGUGCGCCCAGACUGGCUACGGGAUGUCCGGCAGUGUCCUAAUGUUGGUAAGGAGGAUGCUGACCCGCGGUCCGUUCUUGUUGCGGAGACUCCGCAUGGCCACGGACAACAUGCACUGCGGCGCCUGCGACCCCGUGCUGCUGACACACAACACAAAGCCAUUCCGCCAUCGCCUUGCACACCUUCAUGAAUAACAGAACAUACUUGCAAGCUGACAGACACUACCUGCCUACUAAUACUUCAUAUCUGGAAGUUAAAAUAGAUGAUGGCUGUACGGAACAUAUACUCUCUCGUCUCUCCUCAUGAAGUGAUCACAACCUCCAGCAGCUCUAAUGAGUAUACUAUUUUCAACCCACCUUAAAUAAUCCUUCAUACUCCAGACUGACACCAGCUUCAUUAAUAAUAAUUAUUAAUAACAACAGCUUGACUCAAACAAACACUGCACAGAUCUCCUCAUACUGAUCUGCCUAGGACUGUGAAUAAGCUUCGGUUUGAACCCAUCAUGCAUCAAUGAUUCCAUUUUCUAGCAGCAAGAGUACCUAACCCCCCCCCCCCCCCCCCCCUCUUGCCAUGCAUGUUGUGUCUUAGUAUAGUAACAGUCAGUGAUUGUGCUACAUGUAUGUCAUGUAUAUCUAUCUUUCUACCCAUGAAAUGCAUCAGAGUUUAUCCUUGAUAGUAAUAUCUUUGCUUUUUAGGUUUUAGGUGCGUAUAACGUAGUAACCGUCUGCUUUUUGAAGUACUGUAUCAUGGUUUUUCAAUAUCCAUUGCUGUCCUCUUUAACAAAGAAUAUUGCACCAUGUACUUGAAGUACUUGGGCACGAUCCAGA